rnacentral:misc_RNA from 1 species
GCACCUACCGAUUGAAUGGUUCGGUGAAAAUCUCGGACUGCGGCUUGGAUGCCUUCGGGCAACCAAGCUGUGGAAAGUUGUUUAAACCUCAUCAUUUAGAGGAGGGUGAAGUCGUAACAAGGUUUCCGUAGGUGAACCUGCAGAAGGAUCAAUAUCGUAAGAGCGUCGUGUAUGUAAAGAGUGUAUAUCUCUGUGUUCUCCUUAUCCUUAAAAAUAUAAUUUUAUCUUUCUCUUUCUUCUUUUUUUUCUUUCUCCUCAUCUCUUUUUUUUCUUCUCU